rnacentral:rRNA from 1 species
AUUGAACGCUGGCGGCAUGCCUUACACAUGCAAGUCGAACGGCAGCAUGGAGAGCUUGCUCUCUGAUGGCGAGUGGCGAACGGGUGAGUAAUGCAUCGGAACGUACCGUGUAAUGGGGGAUAACGUAGCGAAAGUUACGCUAAUACCGCAUACGACCUGGGGGUGAAAGCAGGGGAUCGCAAGACCUUGCGUUGUCCGAGCGGCCGAUGUCAGAUUAGCUAGUUGGUGAGGUAAAGGCUCACCAAGGCGACGAGCUGUAGCGGGUCUGAGAGGAUGAUCCGCCACACUGGGACUGAAACACGGCCCAGACUCCUACGGGAGGCAGCAGUGGGGAAUUUUGGACAAUGGGGGCAACCCUGAUCCAGCCAUGCCGCGUGAGUGAAGAAGGCCUUCGGGUUGUAAAGCUCUUUCGGCCGGGAAGAAAUCGCACAGGCUAAUACUCUGUGUGGAUGACGGUACCGGCAUAAGAAGCACCGGCUAACUACGUGCCAGCAGCCGCGGUAA